GACGAACCGUCCGAACGUUAUUCGGAAUUACUGGGCUUAAAGGGUGCGUAGGCGGCGCGGUAAGUUGGGUGUGAAAUCCCUCGGCUCAACCGAGGAAUUGCGCCCAAAACUGUCGUGCUCGAGGGAGACAGAGGUGAGCGGAACUGAUGGUGGAGCGGUGAAAUGCGUUGAUAUCAUCAGGAACACCAGUGGCGAAAGCGGCUCACUGGGUCUCUUCUGACGCUGAGGCACGAAAGCUAGGGGAGCAAACGGGAUUAGAAACCCUAGUAGUCC
rnacentral:rRNA from 1 species